CUCCUAGUCCCAGCCGUUCAAGGCCACAGGGAGGGGCUGGAGGCUUCAAUGUCUUCCAGGACCUAAAUCACGUGGAUUUGAACAUGGCUGGGGACUUGGACACCACUCCACUGCUCUCUGCAGAAAGAAUCAGCUCUGGGCUGAGGGCCGAGGAUGAGGAGGGGGUCGGGGAUGAAGACUAGAAUGUGGCCCAGCUGAGUCCAAGAGUCUAGAGCAGUGAUG